rnacentral:rRNA from 1 species
UACGUAGGGGGCGAGCGUUGUCCGGAAUGAUUGGGCGUAAAGGGCGCGUAGGCGGCUUUUUAAGUCUGAAGUGAAAGUCAUGGUUUUAAGCUGGGAAUUGCACUGGAUACUGGAGAGUUUGAGUGCAGGAGAGGUAAGUGGAAUUCCCAGUGUAGCGGUGAAAUGCGUAGAGAUUGGGAGGAACACCAGUGGCGAAGGCGACUUACUGGACUGUAACUGACGCUGAGGCGCGAAAGUGUGGGGAGCAAAC